GUUAUAUGGUCAAGUGACCAAGCGCACACGGUGGAUGCCUAGGCGGUAAGAGGCGAUGAAGGACGUGACAGCCUGCGAAAAGCUCCGGGGAGUCGGCAAUACGCGUUGAUCCGGAGAUGUCCGAAUGGGGAAACCCACCUCUUAGGAGGUAUCCAUGACUGAAUACAUAGGUCAUGGAGGCGAACCGAGCGAACUGAAACAUCUAAGUAGCUCGAGGAAAAGAAAUCAACCGAGAUUCCCCUAGUAGCGGCGAGCGAACGGGGAGUAGCCCAUCAAGCGCAUUUCGAUUUAGUGGAACAUUCUGGAAAGUUUGGCCAUAGCGGGUGAUAGCCCCGUACACGAAAGGUCGUUAUGCGUGAUGUCGAGUAGGGCGGGACACGUGGAAUCCUGUCUGAACAUGGGGGGACCAUCCUCCAAGGCUAAAUACUCCUUACCGACCGAUAGUGAACCAGUACCGUGAGGGAAAGGCGAAAAGAACCCCGGCGAGGGGAGUGAAAUAGAACCUGAAACCGUGUGCGUACAAGCAGUAGGAGCAGAUUCGUUCUGUGACUGCGUACCUUUUGUAUAAUGGGUCAGCGACUUACUGAUCGUGGCAAGCUUAACCGAGUAGGGGAGGCGUAGCGAAAGCGAGUCUGAACAGGGCGUUCAGUCGCGGUCAGUAGACCCGAAACCGGCGCGAUCUACCCAUGGCCAGGGUGAAGGUCAGGUAAUACUGACUGGAGGCCCGAACCCACUAAUGUUGAAAAAUUAGGGGAUGAGCUGUGGGUCGGAGUGAAAGGCUAAUCAAGCCCGGAGAUAGCUGGUUCUCCUCGAAAGCUAUUUAGGUAGCGCCUCAUGUCUCACUCUCGGGGGUAGAGCACUGUUAUGGCUAGGGGGUCAUCCCGACUUACCAAACCAUGGCAAACUCCGAAUACCGAGAAGUGCAAUCAUGGGAGACACACAGUGGGUGCUAACGUCCAUUGUGGAGAGGGAAACAACCCAGACCGCCAGCUAAGGCCCCAAAGUGUGUGCUAAGUGGGAAACGAUGUGGGAAGGCAGAGACAGCCAGGAGGUUGGCUUAGAAGCAGCCAUCCUUUAAAGAAAGCGUAAUAGCUCACUGGUCAAGUCGGCCUGCGCGGAAGAUUUACCGGGGCUCAAGCACACCGCCGAAGCUGCGGAUGCCGUAAGGCAUGGUAGAGGAGCGUUCCGUAGGCCUGCGAAGGUGAACUGUGAGGUUUGCUGGAGGUAUCGGAAGUGCGAAUGCUGACAUGAGUAACGAUAAUACGAGUGAAAACCUCGUACGCCGAAAGUCCAAGGUUUCCUGCGCAACGCUAAUCGGCGCAGGGUGAGUCGGCCCCUAAGGCGAGGCUGAGAAGCGUAGUCGAUGGGAAGCAGGUUAAUAUUCCUGCACCGACCGUUAUUGCGAUGGGGGGACGGAGAAGGCUAGACCAGCCGGCAGAUGGUGUCCGGUUUAAGCCCGUAGGCGGAUCUCUUAGGCAAAUCCGGGAGAUCAACGCCGAGAGGUGAUGACGAGUUCCCAAGGGAACGAAGUGGUUGAUGCCAGGCUUCCAGGAAAAGCCUCUAAGCUUCAGAUAACGGUUGACCGUACCCGAAACCGACACAGGUGGACUGGAUGAGAAUUCCAAGGCGUUGAGAGAACUCGGGUGAAGGAACUAGGCAAAAUAGCACCGUAACUUCGGGAGAAGGUGCGCCCCCGUUAGGUGAUCGGACUUGCUCCGUAAGCUGAAGGGGGUUGCAGUGACCAGGCCGCUGCGACUGUUUAUCAAAAACACAGCACUCUGCAAACUCGAAAGAGGACGUAUAGGGUGUGACGCCUGCCCGGUGCCGGAAGGUUAAUUGAUGGGGUUAUCUUCGGAGAAGCCCUUGAUCGAAGCCCCGGUAAACGGCGGCCGUAACUAUAACGGUCCUAAGGUAGCGAAAUUCCUUGUCGGGUAAGUUCCGACCUGCACGAAUGGCGUAACGAUGGCGGC
rnacentral:rRNA from 1 species